AAAAAUUAUUGAGAUGAAAUUAAUUUGUCGUUGUUACGAUUUACUUCUGCUAAGAUUUUUUUGAAAAAAAAAAAUUCAAAUUCUGUAUACUCAAUAACAUUGAAGUAGUAUGUUUACCUACACAAAGCAGUCAUCGUUUGCAACCACUGGACACACACUAUAAUAAGGAUUUAGCUGUCGUUGAAUUCGAUGGAACUGAGCGUAUUCCGUAAGCCCAUGUACAGUUAGCCAUGCUUGCUCGUGCUCAAUUGCACGGAAGAUGUUGCGCUGUGGUAAUUAUAAUUUUUGUUGAUCAAACUUUGCUUUGAAGCAGUCAACAAUGAUAGCACUGACAUCUUUGUUAGGUAGCGCGUUUCAUGGGUGAACAACGCCGCUGUUGAAGAAGUUGAAGUAAAUGAGAUAUUUGUUGGCGAUUUCACAAUAAAAGUGCUACUUUUUCAAGUAGUAUUUAACUGUUGAAGUAAAGAAGAGAAUCACAGUGUUGCGUUUUUUAGAUAAAUAGGCCGCCUUGGUUCUACCAAGGCCCGGCCAGUUAUAAUGUAUUUGAGUUUUUGCACCAAGCUUAAAGUAAUCGAAAAGUCUACUUUAAACGUAGUAAGAAAAAAACAACUUUGUUUCUUAAAUCCUUGGUGGAAAUGUUGAACUUUCAAUUCAAUGCGUUGGUGAAACUUGCUAAAGUGAUGCUUUUGGUUUACCGUUGAGAUAAGUAUUGAUUUUGAUUAAAUAAGUACUUGGUUAAAUAAGUUGAUUGAUAAAUAAUGAGUUUUAAUUUGUUUUGUAGUUGAUAAUCUAAUGUUAAAUAAGGUGGUUUAAAAAGGAUUAUGAAAAAUUUA